UGAACGCGAAGAACCUUACCAGGUCUUGACAUCCCGAUGAAAAACCCGUAACGGGGUUCCCUCUUCGGAGCAUCGGAGACAGGUGGUGCAUGGUUGUCGUCAGCUCGUGUCGUGAGAUGUUGGGUUAAGUCCCGCAACGAGCGCAACCCUUAUGGUCAGUUACUACGCAAGAGGACUCUGGCCAGACUGCCGUUGACAAAACGGAGGAAGGUGGGGAUGACGUCAAAUCAUCAUGCCCUUUAUGACUUGGGCUACACACGUACUACAAUGGCGUUAAACAAAGAGAAGCAAGACCGCGAGGUGGAGCAAAACUCAGAAACAACGUCCCAGUUCGGACUGCAGGCUGCAACUCGCCUGCACGAAGUCGGAAUUGCUAGUAAUCGUGGAUCAGCAUGCCACGGUGAAUACGUUCCCGGGUCUUGUACACACCG
rnacentral:rRNA from 1 species